UACGGGGGGGGCAAGCGUUGUUCGGAAUUACUGGGCGUAAAGGGUUUGUAGGUGGCUUGCUAAGUCAGACGUGAAAUCCCUCAGCUUAACUGGGGAACUGCGUCUGAUACUGGCGAGCUUGAGUGCAGGAGAGGAACGCGGAAUUCCAGGUGUAGCGGUGAAAUGCGUAGAUAUCUGGAGGAAUACCGGUGGCGAAGGCGGCAAUCCUGGACCGACAUUGACGCUGAGGAGCGAAAGCUAAGGGGAGCAAACGGGG
rnacentral:rRNA from 1 species